rnacentral:tRNA from 1 species
GCAGGAAUAGCUCAGGGGUAGAGCAUGUGCUCAGCAUGCACAAGGUUCUAGGUUCAAUCCCCAGUACCUCCG